rnacentral:rRNA from 1 species
UACGUAGGGUGCAAGCGUUGUCCGGAAUUAUUGGGCGUAAAGAGCUCGUAGGCGGUUUGUCGCGUCUGCUGUGAAAACCCGAGGCUCAACCUCGGGCCUGCAGUGGGUACGGGCAGACUAGAGUGCGGUAGGGGAGAUUGGAAUUCCUGGUGUAGCGGUGGAAUGCGCAGAUAUCAGGAGGAACACCGAUGGCGAAGGCAGAUCUCUGGGCCGUAACUGACGCUGAGGAGCGAAAGCAUGGGGAGCGAAUGGG